rnacentral:rRNA from 1 species
UACGUAGGGCGCAAGCGUUGUCCGGAAUUAUUGGGCGUAAAGAGCUCGUAGGUGGCGUGUCGCGUCUGCCGUGAAAGCCCAUGGCUUAACUGUGGGUCUGCGGUGGAUACGGGCAGGCUAGAGGCUGGUAGGGGCAAGCGGAAUUCCUGGUGUAGCGGUGAAAUGCGCAGAUAUCAGGAGGAACACCGGUGGCGAAGGCGGGAUCCUGGGCCAGUACUGACGCUGAGGAGCGAAAGCGUGGGGAGCAAACAGG